AGAGUUGUCACUAGUUUUGGAGGACCUGAUAUGGAUGUGUUGCUCACCAAACUAAGAGCUCAGGGGUGGUCACAACUGUUUCUUCAAGGUGAUCAUCAAAUGAAGUUUGGGAAAGCUGAAGUGUAUGAAUUUUAUACAAAUGGAGUUACUAUCAGAGAGAUUUUCUCUACCAUUGUUCAUGGAAAAACCAUUAAUCUUUACCCUGC
rnacentral:lncRNA from 1 species